AAGUGACUGGCCCAGAGUCACUCAGCUAGUAUCUUGGCUGAAUGGGGAUUUGAACUCGAGUCUCCCCAGUCCUUGUCCAGCACUCUAACCACUACAUCAUACUGGCUCUCUUCUUUUCUUUGAAGGUUCUUCAAAGAAUUGCUUCUUUGAAGAAACACAAGCCCCAGGGAUGAGAUGUCUCAACACUUCAAAUGAUACACUGUUCUCCAAGUGGCAUUCUGCAAAUAUGAAAGGGAGCCUGAAACCACUUUUCACUAUGAAAUCAUCCAAGGCAUUAAAGAAGGAACCCUGGUGGACAAGAGAUACAAAAAUUAUAGGCACGACUACCCUUCACUGGUGGAAUUCCAAUGUGUGGCUGUCUAUGAAAAUAGAAGACAACUGGAGCUAAAGAAACAUAGAAGGCUUUUAGAUGAUCACCACCCUGUGAUAAUUAGUAGCAUCUUUAUUAAAAAUGCAGGUGUGCUUUCAUUUACAUUAUUUUGGUCUUUUGUGAAACAGGGACAUUCUGCGUCAGAAUAAAUACCCACAGUAUACACGUUAGUUAGGUUUCUAUCUUUCAGGAAACUCCUUACAAGGAAUUUCUAUCAAUUUAUGUUUUUGUAUAUUCUGUAAGCUGGGUGUGAGUCACCGGAAAUGAGUUAUUUGAAACUAGAUUUUACUUGGAUCUGAUUCCAUACAAUUCAAAUUCCUAAGGAUAGUCAAAUGUUCUUGCUUGUUACUUCAGCAGUUAAUUUGCUACUGUUACCUCUUCAGUUAUGAGAGUUUCUACCUUGCCACUUUGCUAUAUCUCAAAUCUGACAAGUUAAUGAUUUUAGCAGUUUCCCAUAAAAUCCCACAGCCCUGUAGGGAAUGACAGAUUUUAAAUCCAGUAGAGAGUUGUUUUACACACACUUAACAGGUAAAGUGUAUGUGUGUGUGUGUGUACACACACCCACCAAAAAUAGUUCAGAUAAGAAGGCUGCUCCUUUCACAUCUUGAGCUUGUAAACAUGGGGAAAGAAAAAAAACACCUCAAGUAUAGAGAUGGGGCCAUCAUAUAGGUUGGAUAAACAGUUGAGUACAUAUAUUGUUACUUCUUAUAUCUCCUUUGCUAACUUAAAUACACAAAGGUCUACAUAUUCUGGUGAUGGCUUAUUUAUGUGAGAUGUCCCCUUCAGAACCUGAGCAGCUUGCUAGUGCUCAUCUAUGAGAGAAAAUUCAGAAAGAAGGAUAUUUUUAAGAAGCUGAAUUGUAGUUCAAGCUGGUCUGUCUUCUUUUUUUGUUCAAUGAAUUUUUUUUCCAUGAAGCACUUAAAUAGCUUCUUCAAAAGGAACCUUCAAUGUAUUAGCAUGAUUAAUGAGGAAGGAAUACAUGACUAUCCAGUUCUAAUUAAUUGCUACAGACUAUAGGGAGAAUAAUUUCUGAAGACUAAUUAAGAGGCAGAUUUAAUGCUUGGGAUAAAGUAUGGACAAAAGCCCUGGUAACUAAAAGCUAUAUAAUUGCUAUAUGCAUUGUCAUGAGUUCUGCAAAUGUUCUCCAGUGAGUGCAAAAUGUGGACAGCUAGAAUUAUUCAUGUAUGAUAGCUAACCAUUUCUGAUGGUUAUUAGAGAGACUUGCAAAUGUCCAUUUGUGCUUACUUGAAAGCCAAAGUGAUCUGUAACAAAGUGAAACUUUAUUUAAUGUUCUCUCUUGAGCAUUGCUUACCAUUCCAGCCCUCCGGGCAAUAACUGUGUGAAACUGCCCAUCGGACACCUUCUUCGCUGUGUUCCACUUGCACUCAUCUCUACUAUUCCACUGGAACACUAUUUGCAGUGUUUUGAACCAGAUUUUUUUUUAUUACUGUGGAAUUAAUCUAAAAGACAUUUGCUAUCAAUAUUUGCCAGUUACAUUAAAAACAUGGAAUAAAAAUGGAAGCCAAUAUGGAGCUGAUGACCACUGCAUUCCACUUUCCAUUUGGCAGCACACCAUCUACUAUUCUUUAGAUCUCACAUCAGCAUACAAAGCAUUUCAAAGCAUAUGUGUGGUAUUUUCCUUUGAUGUCCAUUUUCUUGAAACAUAUGAGCCGUGCAUACUAUCCAUAUUCUAUUUUCCCCCAAAUUUGAUUACCUUUAUAAACAGUAGUUUUAGAAAACUUUUAAUGUUUAUCUGCC